rnacentral:rRNA from 1 species
AGUUUUUUGAUUUGUUAAUGAAAGAUGUUUUCUGCUCAAUGAUAGUAAAUAGCCGCAGUAAUUUGACUGUGCGAAGGUAGCAUAAUCAUUUGCUUUUUAAUUUAAGGCUUGUAUGAAUGGAAAUAUGAAAAUUUUUCUGUCUUUAUUUAAUAAAUAAAAAUUGGUUUUUUUGUGAAGAAACAAAAAUGUAGUAAAGGGACAAGAAGACCCUUUUGAUCUUUAUUUUUUAAAAUAAGUGUUUAUUUAUAUUUAAAAAAUUUGGUUGGGGCGAUCAAAGAAGAAAAAAAUCUUCUUUUGUAAAAAAAUUAAUGAUCCGAAAUUUUCGAUUUAGAGAUUAAGUUACCAAAGGGAUAACAGCGUAAUUUUUUUUGUAAGUUCUUAUUAAAAAAGAAGAUUGCGACCUCGAUGUUGACUUAUUAUAACUUUUUAGUGCAGCAGUUAAGAAAGUAGGUCUGUUCGACCUUUAAAAUAUU